AUUGAACGCUGGCGGCAUGCCUUACACAUGCAAGUCGAACGGCAGCACGGGUGCUUGCACCUGGUGGCGAGUGGCGAACGGGUGAGUAACAUAUCGGAACGUAUCCAAUAAUGGGGGAUAACUAAUCGAAAGGCUGGCUAAUACCGCAUACGCCCUACGGGGGAAAGCUAGGGACCUUCGGGCCUGGCGUUAAUGGAGCGGCCGAUAUCUGAUUAGCUAGUUGGUGGGGUAAUGGCCUACCAAGGCGACGAUCAGUAGCUGGUCUGAGAGGACGACCAGCCACACUGGAACUGAGACACGGUCCAGACUCCUACGGGAGGCAGCAGUGGGGAAUUUUGGACAAUGGGCGCAAGCCUGAUCCAGCCAUUCCGCGUGAGUGAAGAAGGCCUUCGGGUUGUAAAGCUCUUUCGCAAGGGAAGAAAACUUAUCCUCUAACAUAGGAUGAGGUUGACGGUACCUUGAUAAGAAGCACCGGCUAACUACGUGCCAGCCGCCGCAGUAACAC
rnacentral:rRNA from 1 species